rnacentral:tRNA from 1 species
GGAGAGGUGCGAGAGUGGUUGAAUCGGGCGGUCUCGAAAACCGUUGUACCCAAAAGGUACCGUGGGUUCGAAUCCCACCCUCUCCGCCA